rnacentral:rRNA from 1 species
UACGUAGGGUGCGAGCGUUGCCCGGAUUUAUUGGGCGUAAAGGGCGCGCAGGCGGCUACGCAAGUCCGUUGUGAAAUCGCUCGGCUCAACUGGGCGGGGUCGGCGGAUACGGCGUAGCUGGAGCAAGCUAGGGGGCAAUGGAAUUCCCGGUGUAGUGGUGGAAUGCGUAGAUAUCGGGAGGAACACCAGUGGCGAAGGCGGUUGCCUGGAGCUUUGCUGACGCUGAGGCGCGAAAGCGUGGGGAGCGAUCCGG